rnacentral:rRNA from 1 species
CUGGCGGCAGGCCUAACACAUGCAAGUCGAGCGGUAGAGAGAAGCUUGCUUCUCUUGAGAGCGGCGGACGGGUGAGUAAUGCCUAGGAAUCUGCCUGGUAGUGGGGGAUAACGUUCGGAAACGGACGCUAAUACCGCAUACGUCCUACGGGAGAAAGCAGGGGACCUUCGGGCCUUGCGCUAUCAGAUGAGCCUAGGUCGGAUUAGCUAGUUGGUGAGGUAAUGGCUCACCAAGGCGACGAUCCGUAACUGGUCUGAGAGGAUGAUCAGUCACACUGGAACUGAGACACGGUCCAGACUCCUACGGGAGGCAGCAGUGGGGAAUAUUGGACAAUGGGCGAAAGCCUGAUCCAGCCAUGCCGCGUGUGUGAAGAAGGUCUUCGGAUUGUAAAGCACUUUAAGUUGGGAGGAAGGGCAGUUACCUAAUACGUGAUUGUUUUGACGUUACCGACAGAAUAAGCACCGGCUAACUCUGUGCCAGCAGCCGCGGUAAUACAGAGGGUGCAAGCGUUAAUCGGAAUUACUGGGCGUAAAGCGCGCGUAGGUGGUUAGUUAAGUUGGAUGUGAAAUCCCCGGGCUCAACCUGGGAACUGCAUUCAAAACUGACUGACUAGAGUAUGGUAGAGGGUGGUGGAAUUUCCUGUGUAGCGGUGAAAUGCGUAGAUAUAGGAAGGAACACCAGUGGCGAAGGCGACCACCUGGACUGAUACUGACACUGAGGUGCGAAAGCGUGGGGAGCAAACAGGAUUAGAUACCCUGGUAGUCCACGCCGUAAACGAUGUCAACUAGCCGUUGGGAGCCUUGAGCUCUUAGUGGCGCAGCUAACGCAUUAAGUUGACCGCCUGGGGAGUACGGCCGCAAGGUUAAAACUCAAAUGAAUUGACGGGGGCCCGCACAA